CUUUCUCUUUCUUACUAAAUCUUAGUAAAUGAAGUAAUUCUGGUUUUGAAAAGAGCAGAUGUCAUCCAUCUUAGGGAAAUGAUCAAGAUCCCAAGAAGGCUGAAAAUCACUGGGAGGACAUGGGAGUGUGUGCCUGCCUGCGGAUGCUCUGCAGUUCCCAAUACCCAGACAGUGAAGGAGUAAACGCAGGAACUCUCUUCCUACAAUACUCUGCAGGCAUACAUCUGUACAGAACAGUCAUCCAGCUCCCUUGCAGCUACUUUAAUGUGUACUACCAAUAAUAUACGUCAUGAUGUUUUCAUGCCUUGGAAAACCUGCAAGCAAGGCCUGACCUUGGUAGAUCAAGAGAGAAGAG